rnacentral:rRNA from 1 species
GACGAACGCUGGCGGCGUGCUUAACACAUGCAAGUCGAACGGAAAGGCCCUGCUUUUGUGGGGUGCUCGAGUGGCGAACGGGUGAGUAACACGUGAGUAACCUGCCCUUGACUUUGGGAUAACUUCAGGAAACUGGGGCUAAUACCGGAUAGGAGCUCCUGCUGCAUGGUGGGGGUUGGAAAGUUUCGGCGGUUGGGGAUGGACUCGCGGCUUAUCAGCUUGUUGGUGGGGUAGUGGCUUACCAAGGCUUUGACGGGUAGCCGGCCUGUGAGGGUGACCGGCCACAUUGGGAGUGAGAUACGGCCCAGACUCAUACGGGAGGCAGGAGUGGGGAAUAUAGAACAAUGGGCGGAAGCCAGAUGCAGCAACGCCGCGUGCGGGAUGACGGCCUUCGGGUGGUAAACCGCUUUCGCCUGUGACGAAGCGUGAGUGACGGUAAUGGGGAAAGAAGCACCGGCAAACUACGU